AACGAACGCUGGCGGCAGGCCUAACACAUGCAAGUCGAGCGAGCAUUUCGGUGCUAGCGGCGGACGGGUGAGUAACGCGUGGGAACGUGCCCUUUUCUGCGGAAUAGUCCUGGGAAACUGGGGGUAAUACCGCAUACGCCCUUUUGGGGAAAGAUUUAUCGGAGAAGGAUCGGCCCGCGUUGGAUUAGGUAGUUGGUGGGGUAAUGGCCCACCAAGCCGACGAUCCAUAGCUGGUUUGAGAGGAUGAUCAGCCACACUGGGACUGAGACACGGCCCAGACUCCUACGGGAGGCAGCAGUGGGGAAUCUUAAACAAGGGGGGCAACCCUGAUCUAGCCAUGCCGGGUGAGUGAUGAAGGCCUUAGGGUUGUAAAGCUCUUUCAGCUGGGAAGAUAAUGACGGUACCAGCAAAAGAAGCCCCGGCUAACCCCGU
rnacentral:rRNA from 1 species